UCCGGGGCGGAGGCCAAAGGGAGUCUCCCGCGUGGCUGGGGUCCCCACCCCGGCCCGCGCCCUCUGCCGGGCUCCGUGAGCUCCUUGUCCUUCGCGCUGCUGGAAGUACUGAGCACAUCUGGAGCCGGACAGUGGUGGACCUUGCGAGUCCUGGCCCAGCCUUUCCCUGGGGCUGUCCGGGCCACUUCUUCCAGAGAUCAGUGCUCCGGCUCUUAGGAAAAGGAAGCAGAGGAUGUCCCCGCCGGGAGGGACCUUAGGAUGUGGAAUGGGGGAAAAGGCUGGAAGUGGGGGAGACCCAGAACAUAACACGUAAGAACUGGAAGGGAUCCCAGGGCACAGGGAAUGCUAGAACUGGGAAGAGAACUAGAACAUAACACGUAAGAACUGGAAGGGAUCCCAGGUCACAGGAGAAUGCUAGAACUGGGAAGAGAACUAGAACAUAACACGUAAGGACUGGAAGGGAUCCCAGGGCACAGGGAAUGCUAGAACUGGGAAGAGAACUAGAACAUAACACGUAAGAACUGGAAGGGAUCCCAGGUCACAGGAGAAUGCUAGAACUGGGAAGAGAACUAGAACAUAACACGUAAGAACUGGAAGGGAUCCCAGGUCACAGGAGAAUGCUAGAACUGGGAAGAGAACUAGAACAUAACACGUAAGAACUGGAAGGGAUCCCAGGUCACAGGAGAAUGCUAGAACUGGGAAGAGAACUAGAACAUAACACGUAAGAACUGGAAGGGAUCCCAGGUCACAGGAGAAUGCUAGAACUGGGAAGAGAACUAGAACAUAACACGUAAGAACUGGAAGGGAUCCCAGGUCACAGGAGAAUGCUAGAACUGGGAAGAGAACUAGAACAUAACACGUAAGAACUGGAAGGGAUCCCAGGUCACAGGAGAAUGCUAGAACUGGGAAGAGAACUAGAACAUAACACGUAAGAACUGGAAGGGAUCCCAGGUCACAGGGAAUGCUAGAACUGGGAAGAGAACUAGAACAUAACAGGUAAGGACUGGAAGGGAUCCCAGGGCACAGGGAAUGCUAGAACUGGGAAGAGAACUAGAACAUAACACGUAAGAACUGGAAGGGAUCCCAGGUCACAGGGAAUGCUAGAACUGGGAAGAGAACUAGAACAUAACACGUAAGGACUGGAAGGGAUCCCAGGUCACAGGAGAAUGCUAGAACUGGGAAGAGAACUAGAACAUAACACGUAAGAACUGGAAGGGAUCCCAGGUCACAGGAGAAUGCUAGAACUGGGAAGAGAACUAGAACAUAACACGUAAGAACUGGAAGGGAUCCCAGGUCACAGGAGAAUGCUAGA